AAGCCAAAAAAAAAAAAAAGAAAAUUCAAUAGGUUAAGACCUUAUUAGAUCCAUCAACCCAAUGAAACAAAAGAACCGAAUUUCACAAGAGGUAAAAAAGCAAAAAAGCUUUCAACCUUUUCUUCCUUUGUACUUUUGAACAUUUCCUCAGGAAAGGAAUAUAACAAUAAACAAAGAUCAUAAUCGAAAUAAGAGUAUUUCCAGUUUCAAUUAACAACGAGUUAUUCUUCCUUGGUACCUCCUCCUAAAGCGCAGCAUUCUCAAAUCUCUCUCAUCAACGAAUUUCCAAAAGUCUACUAAAAUCAAAAAAUAAUCCGGUAAAUGACCAAAAACAAUAAUCAUGAUGGGCUAUAAACGCGGAAUUGAUGCUUAUAAGAGACGAUCAACCCUCAAAAAAAAAAAAAAAAAA
rnacentral:misc_RNA from 1 species